GCUUUACGCCGACACAACACC
rnacentral:snRNA from 1 species